rnacentral:lncRNA from 1 species
AAAACAAGAAAAUUCAAAAAAAGAGGUCAGUUAGUAUCCUCGAACUUUGUCCCCAGCCAGUCAGCAUUAGGGUUUAAAAACCCUAAACUGAACUUUUUCCUUUAGUCAGCAUUAGGGUUUUACACCCUGAACUGAACUUUCCACUUGUCGGCAUUAGGGUUUUAAACCCUAAACUGAACUUUUCCAUUUAGUCAGCAUUAGGGUUCUAAACCCUAAACUGAACUUUUUUCCAUUUAGUCAGCAUUAGGGUUUUAAACCCUAAACUGAACUUUUCCACUUAGUCAGCAUUAGGGUUUUAAACCCUAAACUGAACUUUUUUCAUUCAGUCAGCAUUAGGGUUUUAAACCCUAAACUGAACUUUCCCAUUCAGUCAGUAUUAGGGUUUUAAACCCUAAACUGAACUUUUUUCCCUUUAGUCGGCAUUAGGGUUUUAAACCCUAAACUGAACUUUUCCAUUUAGUCAGCAUUAGGGUUUUAAACCCUAAACUGAACUCUUUUCCAUUUAGUCAGCAUUAGGGUUUUAAACCCUAAACUGAACUUUUCCAUUUAGUCAGCAUUAGGGUUUUAAACCCUAAACUGAACUCUUUUCCAUUUAGUCAGCAUUAGGGUUUUAAACCCUAAACUAAACUCUUUUCCAUUUAGUCAGCAUUAGGGUUUUAAAACCCUAAACUGAACUUUUCCUUUAGUCAGCAUUAGGGUUUUAAACCCUAAACUGAACUUUUCCUUUAGUCAGUAUUAGGGUUUUAAACCCUAAACUGAACUUUUUCCAUUCAGUCAGCAUUAGGGUUUUAAAACCCUAAACUGAACUUUUUCUUUUAGUCAGCAUUAGGGUUUUAAACCCUAAACUGACCUUUUUCCAUGUAGUCAGCAUUAGGGUUUUAAACCCUAAACUGAACUUUUUCCACUCAGUCAGCAUUAGGGUUUUAAACCCUAAACUGAACUUUUACUUUAGUCAGCAUUAGGGUUUUAAACCCUAAACUGAACUUUUUCCAUGUAGUCAGCAUCAGGGUUUUAAACUCUAAACUGA